GGAGAGAUGGCUCAGCGGUUAAGAGCACUGACUGCUCUUCCAGAGGUCUUGAGUUCAAUUCCCAGCAACCACA
rnacentral:tRNA from 1 species